GAUGAACGCUGGCGGCGUGCCUAAUGCAUGCAAGUCGAGCGAACAGACGAGGAGCUUGCUCCUCUGUCGUUAGCGGCGGACGGGUGAGUAACACGUGGAUAACCUACCUAUAAGACUGGGAUAACUUCGGGAAACCGGAGCUAAUACCGGAUAAUAUAUUGAACCGCAUGGUUCAAUAGUGAAAGACGGUUUUGCUGUCACUUAUAGAUGGAUCCGCGCCGCAUUAGCUAGUUGGUAAGGUAACGGCUUACCAAGGCAACGAUGCGUAGCCGACCUGAGAGGGUGAUCGGCCACACUGGAACUGAGACACGGUCCAGACUCCUACGGGGGGCAGCAGUAGGGAAUCUUCCGCAAUGGGCGAAAGCCUGACGGAGCAACGCCGCGUGAGUGAUGAAGGUCUUCGGAUCGUAAAACUCUGUUAUUAGGGAAGAACAAAUGUGUAAGUAACUAUGCACGUCUUGACGGUACCUAAUCAGAAAGCCACGGCUAACUACGUG
rnacentral:rRNA from 1 species